rnacentral:rRNA from 1 species
AACGAACGCUGGCGGCAUGCCUAACACAUGCAAGUCGAACGAGACCUUCGGGUCUAGUGGCGCACGGGUGCGUAACGCGUGGGAACCUGCCCUUAGGUUCGGAAUAACUCCCCGAAAGGGGUGCUAAUACCGGAUAAUGUCUUCGGACCAAAGAUUUAUCGCCUUUGGAUGGGCCCGCGUUGGAUUAGCUAGUUGGUAGGGUAAAAGCCUACCAAGGCGACGAUCCAUAGCUGGUCUGAGAGGAUGAUCAGCCACACUGGGACUGAGACACGGCCCAGACCCCUACGGGGGGGAGCAGGGGGGAAUAUUGGACAAUGGGCGAAAGCCUGACCCAGCAAUGCCGGGGGAGUGAUGAAGGCUUUAGGGUUGUAAAGCUCUUUUACCCGGGAUGAUAAUGACAGUACCGGGAGAAUAAGCCCCGGCUAACUCCGU